UACGUAGGGGGCAAGCGUUGUCCGGAAUCAUUGGGCGUAAAGAGCGUGUAGGCGGCCAGAUAAGUCCGCUGUGAAAACUCGAGGCUCAACUUCGAGCUGUCGGUGGAAACUAUUUGGCUAGAGUCCGGAAGAGGAGAGUGGAAUUCCUGGUGUAGCGGUGAAAUGCGCAGAUAUCAGGAGGAACACCGGUGGCGAAGGCGGGUCUCUGGGCCGUAACUGACGCUGAGGAGCGAAAGCGUGGGGAGCGAACAGG
rnacentral:rRNA from 1 species